AAAGACAAUAUAAAAAUUCUAUAUGCCUUCUUUCAUUUAGCUACGGCAUGCGAUUGAUGAAUUAUGGUUGAUAUAUAAGAAAAAAAAAAAGGAGAUAAAAUACAAACAAAAACUUUAGUAGAUCACAUCUCGAUACUAAAGAAUCGAGCUUUAUAUAACUUUCAAAGACGAAAAUUCAUUGAAAAAAAUAUAAAAGGCAAAAAAGAUAAAUUCAACACAAAAACAAAGAGAGAGAGAGAGAGAAAAGAAAAAAAAGAAAAAGAAAAAAGAGGAGACCCACAAUAUCAGAGAAUUGACUAACGGAUUUCUUGAAAAUAUAACACUAUAUAAAAGGAAAAAAUUAACUCUAAACGCACACAUGUAUGCUUCGCGUGUGUAUAAGAAAGCUUAUUAAUAAAUAACUAAAUAAGUAAAUGUAAUAAACUAUAAUUAGGCUUGAAGAAAACUGGAGAAUUAAACUUCUACGUGAAAAUGAAAAAAAUACUGCGAUGGACCUAUAUAUCAUUUAUUUAUAUAAAAUGGACAUCUAGAUACAUAACAUAACCACAUAUUCCCUCCAAAAAAAAAGAAAAAGAAAAACAUAACCACAUAUUAAUGCAAAAUAAAUUAAAAUAUUUAAUGACCUCAUAAUUAUUAUUUUUAUUGCUUGCUCGGUCAAAUGAAUAAACAAGGAUGUACUUUUCAGCUUACUGGCGGUUAGUUAAUACUCCCUCCGUCAACUAGUUAAGAGAUUGAUUAACUAAUGAACUCAUCAUUUACUUUUUCACUAUACUUAC
rnacentral:lncRNA from 1 species